GUGCUCACUUUGGCAGCACAUAUACUAAAAUUGGAACAGUACUGGGAAGAUUGGCGCGGCCUCUGCACACAGAUGGCUCAGAUUCAUGAAGAGCUCUAUAUUAGA